CCAGAGUGGGCUCGGUUGGUAAGGCACCGGAUUGAUACUCCGGCGUGGGGGGGCAACCUCCCUGACGGGUUCGAAUCCCGUACUCUCCGCCA
rnacentral:tRNA from 1 species